rnacentral:rRNA from 1 species
UACGGGGGGAGCAAGCGUUGUUCGGAUUUACUGGGCGUAAAGGGCGCGUAGGCGGCCACCGCAAGUCGACUGUGAAAUCUCCGGGCUUAACCCGGAAAGGUCAGCCGAUACUGCGGGGCUAGAGUGCAGAAGGGGCAACUGGAAUUCUCGGUGUAGCGGUGAAAUGCGUAGAUAUCGAGAGGAACACCUGCGGCGAAGGCGGGUUGCUGGGCUGAUACUGACGCUGAGGAGCGAAAGCGUGGGGAGCAAACAGG